rnacentral:rRNA from 1 species
UACGUAGGGGGCAAGCGUUAUCCGGAUUUAUUGGGCGUAAAGCGUGCGCAGGCGGUUUAUUAAGUCUAAGAUUAAAGCCCGGAGCUUAACUCCGGUUCGUCUUAGAAACUGGUAGACUUGAGUAUGGUAGAGGCAAAUGGAAUUCCUAGUGUAGCGGUGGAAUGCGUAGAUAUUAGGAGGAACACCAGUGGCGAAGGCGAUUUGCUGGGCCAUUACUGACGCUCAUGCACGAAAGCGUGGGGAGCAAAUAGG